UGAUCCCAAGCCUUCUGGCGAUCUCUUAUAAAGAAAGCCCUCCAUAAUAAAUUGAAAAGGGUCCUUUGGGGAAAAGUUUUCCCUUUGCUAAGAUGAAGCCGGGGAAGGUUUUCCGGUUUAUCCCGGAGGGCUUGUAGCUCAGUUGGUUAGAGCGCGCGCUUGAUAAGCGUGAGGUCGGAGGUUCAAGUCCUCCCAGGCCCACCAAUCAUUCUAUCAAUCUAUAAGCGCUUGUGGAAAUUGCUCAUAGAAAACUUUCUUUAUUCAUUUAUGAAAAAUCUCCUUAUAGAGAGACGCUUUUCCCUUUGGGUUUGAAAAUUCAAAAUUAAAGGUGUUAAAGUGGCUUUAAAGGAAAAGUGACAAAGAAUAAGGAAUAACGAUUUAAGUUAUCCCUUUUUGGUGAUCUUGAUUUGGGUGUUUUGAAUGCGUUAUGUUUUUUAGGGGGGCCGUAGCUCAGCUGGGAGAGCACCUGCUUUGCAAGCAGG
rnacentral:misc_RNA from 1 species